rnacentral:rRNA from 1 species
GAAUUCGCCCUUAGAGUUUGAUCCUGGUUCAGGAUGAACGCUGGCGGCGUGCCUAACACAUGCAAGUCGAACGGAACUAUUUUGGAAACUCCUUCGGGAGCGGAAUUUUUAGUUUAGUGGCGGACGGGUGAGUAACGCGUGAUCAAUCUGCCUUUAAGAGGGGGAUAACAGACGGAAACGGCUGCUAAUACCGCAUAAAGCAUCAAAUUCGCAUGUUUUUGAUGCCAAAGGAGCAAUCCGCUUUUAGAUGAGCUCGCGUCUGAUUAGCUAGUUGGCGGGGUAACGGCCCACUAAGGCGACGAUCAGUAGCCGGACUGAGAGGUUGAACGCCCACAUUGGGACUGAGACACGGCCCAGACUCCUACGGGAGGCAGCAGUGGGGAAUAUUGCGCAAUGGGGGAAACCCUGACGCAGCAACGCCGCGUGAUAGAAGAAGGCCUUCGGGUUGUAAAGAUCUUUAAUCAGGGACGAAACAAAUGACGGUACCUGAAGAAUAAGCUCCGGCUAACUACGUGCCAGCAGCCGCGGUAAUACGUAGGGAGCAAGCGUUAUCCGGAUUUACUGGGUGUAAAGGGAGCGUAGACGGUGUGGCAAGUCUGAUGUGAAAGGCAUGGGCUCAACCUGUGGACUGCAUUGGAAACUGUCAUACUUGAGUGCCGGAGGGGUAAGCGGAAUUCCUAGUGUAGCGGUGAAAUGCGUAGAUAUUAGGAGGAACACCAGUGGCGAAGGCGGCUUACUGGACGGUAACUGACGUUGAGGCUCGAAAGCGUGGGGAGCAAACAGAAUUAGAUACCCUGGUAGUCCACGCCGUAAACGA